rnacentral:rRNA from 1 species
GGCGUGCUUAACACAUGCAAGUCGAACGCUGAAGCUCCCAGCUUGCUGGGGGUGGAUGAGUGGCGAACGGGUGAGUAACACGUGAGUAACCUGCCCCGAACUCUGGGAUAAGCGCUGGAAACGGCGUCUAAUACUGGAUAUGUCCUAUCACCGCAUGGUGUGUAGGUGGAAAGAAUUUCGGUUCGGGAUGGACUCGCGGCCUAUCAGCUAGAUGGUGAGGUAAUGGCUCACCAUGGCGACGACGGGUAGCCGGCCUGAGAGGGUGACCGGCCACACUGGGACUGAGACACGGCCCAGACUCCUACGGGAGGCAGCAGUGGGGAAUAUUGCACAAUGGGCGCAAGCCUGAUGCAGCAACGCCGCGUGAGGGAUGACGGCCUUCGGGUUGUAAACCUCUUUUAGUAGGGAAGAAGCGAAAGUGACGGUACCUGCAGAAAAAGCACCGGCUAACUACGUGCCAGCAGCCGCGGUAAUACGUAGGGUGCAAGCGUUGUCCGGAAUUAUUGGGCGUAAAGAGCUCGUAGGCGGCUUGUCGCGUCUGCUGUGAAAACCAGAGGCUCAACCUCUGGCCUGCAGUGGGUACGGGCAAGCUAGAGUGCGGUAGGGGAGAUUGGAAUUCCUGGUGUAGCGGUGGAAUGCGCAGAUAUCAGGAGGAACACCGAUGGCGAAGGCAGAUCUCUGGGCCGUAACUGACGCUGAGGAGCGAAAGCAUGGGGAGCGAACAGGAUUAGAUACCCUGGUAGUCCAUGCCGUAAACGUUGGGAACUAGAUGUAGGGCCUGUUCCACGGGUUCUGUGUCGUAGCUAACGCAUUAAGUUCCCCGCCUGGGGAGUACGGCCGCAAGGCUAAAACUCAAAGGAAUUGACGGGGGCCCGCACAAGCGGCGGAGCAUGCGGAUUAAUUCGAUGCAACGCGAAGAACCUUACCAAGGCUUGACAUAUACGAGAACACUGUAGAGAUACAGGA